CUCACAUGUUCUAUCUCACAUUCACUCACUCAUUAACGAAGCAACAUCUUCUUUUUCUCUCUCGCACAUCAGAGAGCAUUUGUCAUUGUGUGCGCGUCUUCCUCAAGAUUUCAGUGGCUCGAGAGCUCAUCCUUCACCAUCACAGAGUAUCUUCCUUACUUUCAGAUUCUUCUUUUACAAGAGUGUCUAAGCAAAUAUGAAGGAACUGAUGAUCGGAGCACACCACAGGUAUCUACAAUUUUGCAGGCUGUGAAGAAGGGUGAUACUAUUUUUAUAGGUCAAUACCUGUUUACUAGAAGUGAAACAACCUCAGUGUGGCUUGAGGUAAUGCAAUCCUAGAUGGAUUAGUUCUAUCUUCAAUGCUUCUAUAAAUAGUUUUUUCUGACUAUUUUGGUAAUUUUGUUCCAUAAAAUUAGACAAUAACAUUGUUCCAUAAAUUUAUU